rnacentral:lncRNA from 1 species
AAACAGAGGGGACUUCCUUAUGCUGGCUCAGAUGGUCUGUCGUGGAGUUAACUGGGGAAACAGUGGUCUCUUGCUGGUCUUAACUGCAUGAUUUGAACAAGUCUCUACUCUUCUGAGUCUCAGUUUCCUCAUCUGCAAAAUGGGGUUUGGACUUGAUGAUCACCCCAUCAACUGUAAGCAUUCUAAGCUGAUGUUAUUCACAGGUGAGGAAGAGGAGAAACUGCAUCUCAGCAAAAACCUGGAUUUUCAGAGUUAGGGCCCUUCCUACAUAAUAUGACAUAAAAGCUGUCAUUUGAAAGGUCAGUGACAUUUAAGGGUGGACUUUUGUCAAAAGCACUUAUUUCAAGCCCAGAUUUGACAGCAGCCUGUGCAGGCUUGCUCAUCCAUUGAUUUCCAAGUCCUGCCGCAUUGCUGGGGAUGCAGCUCUCUGCACAGAGCAAAGCCAGAAGUUCCAGUGGUUAUAGAAGACAGAGCCUGGUAGGUGCCCUGGAGAGGAGGCUGGGCAGAUAGAGCUGAAGGGCACCCUGGCAGGUUGGGAAAAAAGCAAAUGAUCCAAGAGAAAGGCCUUGAACUUUCUGUGAAUUGUUUAUUUCCUGUCUCCUUUAUCUUUACAGUUUAUUUUCUAACCUUUCUUCUUUCUCUUGUGGGAAUGAUUAAAG